GACAACUCGCGGGGAUUGUUUUCCACACCGUGGAAGCUUUGUUCUUUUCGUUUUUUGCAAUAAAUCUUGUUGCUGCUCGCUUUUUGGGUCCACAUUGCUUUUAUGAGCUGUACCACUCACCGUGAAGAUCUGCAGCUUCACUUCAGAGCCUAGCGAGACCACAAGCUCACUGAGAGGAACAAACAACUCCAGACGCGCUGUCUUAAGAGCUAUAACACUCACCGCGAAGGUGUGCAGUUUCACUCCUGAGCUAGUGAGACUACGAAGCCACUGGAACGAAGAAACUCCAACCACGUUUGAACAUCAGAAGGGGCAGACUCCAGACGCUUCAUCUUAAGAGCUGUAACACUCACUGUGAAGGUCUGCAGCUUCACUCCUGAGCCAGCGAGACCACGAACCGAUCUGAACAUCAGAAGGGACAGACUCCAGAUGCCCCACCUUAAGAGCUGUAAUACUCACUGCAAGGGUCUGCAGCUUCAUUCUUGAAGUCAGACCAAGAACCCAGCAAUUCCCAACACACAGGGACCAGCUUCUUUCCUAACUCACUUAGGCUCUUCGUGCUGCUCUGGCAACUAACACCCUUGGCUGCAGGGGCUUGGACACUACCCUUAGUCACUGACAAUUGUGUGAAGGCUGCUGUCGUUAACUUCACUUGAUCACCUUAGGCUCCUGUGAAGUGGUGAGCAAUUCAAACAAAUUCCUGUCGUCAAAUCAUAAUCCUGAUUUUGUUUGGAAGGACAGCGUGCCUGGUUCCAGGAUAUACAUCUUUCCACACCAAUAGACCUUGUUUUCCGAUGUAGCAUUAUUUUUCAUAGUUGGCGAAUAUACAGUUAUGGAUUCAUAACAGCAAGAUGGAGAAAUUGCACUGCAGAGAAAUCUUUAAAAGCAAUUACCUAAUACUGCAGAUUGCUGAACUGUACCCACACCCAAGACUGAGCAUUGGAUCAAUCCAGAAUAUACAUCAGGUGUUCUGCAAUGUCUGCCUAAAACCAUGACUCUGCCUCCUCCAGCUGUUGCUACAUCUCACUAUGGGUUUCCUGUGACAUUUUGAGCAAGUAUGCCUCUGUGACUGGGGUUCUUACACUCCAGAAUGGAUGAGAAGCACCGUAAGUGGCUUUUAAAAUGAAUAUUCCCUGGCCCUUCAGUCGCUCUAUAGGUCAAGAAUCUGAAUUCUCAACCUGUCUAGAAGGUUCUGGUUUUAAUGGUCUGUGGGCUGCACAUUGAGAAACCUGUUCAGCGAGUGCAACAAAGGUUCCACAUGUGAGAAAGGAAGCAUCAGGUCUCUUGAGCCUGUUCUUUAAUCUGUAGGCUGCACCUUCUCUUUAAAUUCUGCUAAUAACACCAUGCGAGAAAACACCCGAGCUUGAAAAGCCCAUGUUCCAACAUAACUGUCCUUCACCACUCUGGAAAAUUAAUGGUUUGUUUCGAUUAUCCCUUUGUUAAACUCCAAAGUCAAAGAGCUCUGAAAGGCAUACGGUUAUUUUAAGUUUCAGGUGAUUUCUGUUGCCAAAUAUUUUAAAAAUUUAAAAUUGCUACGUGACCUCUUAGUAGUACUAUUAGAUUUCCUGACAAUAAAAAUAAGUCUUUUGGUUUCACCAUUUAUAGUUAGUACAGCUAAUAUUAAGUAUAAUUUUAAAAGCCUUUUAUUUUCUCAGAAAGAAAAAAUAAUCAAAAUCUGCUCAGUGUGGUAUUGAAUAAUUAAAAACAAAAGAACAGUAUCUUCACAUUAGUGUUUAAUAUUAAUUGCUUUUUUACCCUUGACACUGGUGCUAAUUAAAUUUUCAUUUUAUUUUCCAUGACUUGUUUAAACAGUUUUUGCAAAUUAUUGCUAAUCAGCCUAAUAAAACUGAAUCACCUAUUAAACAAUUUUGUUUUGAAUUAAAUGGCAUUAAAAUAA
rnacentral:lncRNA from 1 species